UUUUACGGUUAGGCUUUUGUUAUUAUCAAGCCCAUCGAAAAUCAAGGGUUCUUCUUCGUCUUCUCACAUUCCCUCUUCCGUAGCAGAACUUUUUUCCAGAAAACUUAAGUUUCCAUCAUCUCUCCGUUAUGGUCAACCAUGCACUAAAACGUUCUUUAGAAUGUCCUUUAGACGAGCUUUAACUUGAAACAGUUGAAAGCCGGCAGGUACAAACAAAUGGUUCAGACAAGACUACUUUGAUUUUGGGAAGCCCGUAACAUUAAGAAAGGCGGUGAACUCAUUGGCGUUUAUAUGCUGCUCCUUGAUCCAAAGACCUUACAGAACUCAGUUUCUUACAAUUAUGGCAGGAACAGACAUGUCAAUGGAUCUAACUAAUUUCAGAAGCAUUGAUUUAGUUGGAUGAUGAACUGACGCUAGCCAAAUCAGAAUUACUUGCUAGCAAAAGAUCAGUGCAAAGAGAUCUCCGGUUUAGGUCAUGUGUUUUGGGUAUGGAUUCCGGAGGCGAAAGGGGUUGUCCAUGUGUAUUUAAGAGAUUGAUAUCGUCUGUAAACUUAAAAGAUUAGAUGAUACUGUCCGAAGAGUUUUUGCUGGUGCAGUUGUCAAUCAAUGAACACUAUCCAAGUUCUCAAGAAAGUUAAAAGAAAAGGUAAAGAAGAUAAAGAAUGUUCAUAGACAUGGUCAUGGUCAUGAGCAUGAUCGUGGAGAACAACACAUCCCCGACGACCACGAUCUGGACAGGAAGAUGCUGACGAUUACGACGUAGGCCAAAUUGGCCAACAAGUCCACGGUGGUGCACCAGCAUGAGGGCUCAUCACAUUCACGAUCCGAUGAAGGAGAUUAGGAGGAGAUAGUUCCUCCAGGCAAAAAGGAUUUUCUUGUCAUGGCUGCUUCCCACCCCAAAGUCUCUGAGCCAAUCAAAGCAAUGGAACCAAAGAUGUCACUAGAACGUUUGUUCCCAGUGAACAACUUAGAGUCAACAUCGAGAGAGACAGAGGAUUGGAGGAAGGGACGGCUGCUCAGGUCAAGAUAAAAAUGUUUUAUCCAUCUGACAAUAAUCAUGGCAAGCUCAAGCUCGGCUCUUACGAGAGUAAUAUGUUUCUUGAUUACUCAGACGGACUUAGCUGAAGCUAUUGGUGCUUCCCUCCUUCAGUCAAUAGUGUAUACGCUGUGAUAUCUUUGGUAUCGCUUAUGACCGAGAGAUUAAAGCCGGUGCAUGUCUAAAGAUUACCAAGCGUAGGGGUUGGAGUAUUGUCCAACUCCAAUGGAACAUAUAUGCAUAAUAGUACAUGGUAGUUUCACCUUGAAGUAUUUUAUUUGAUCUCUCAGUUUCCUCUGCCAGUUAGUACAAAUGACUAUCAUCAUGGUCAUCGACAUGUGUGGUGAAGCUUAGCCAACGUAAGUGUGAUUAAUAAUCAAAAGUAUUUGCUUUACUUUCUUUUUUUGUUUGCUUUUGAUUUUUCUCUGACUGUUGUGGUUUGUUUGCUGAUACUUCGUUUUCAAACAUUUUGCUUUAUGGGUUUCUGGGAGAUUGGAGACAAUGAAUUGGAUGAAUGACAUGAAUUGAAGAACACAAUUCUUAGCUCAGGUAAUGUACUGUUACUAUCCCUUUUUGAACCUUUACAGUCGGAGGAGCUAAUUUGAAGAUGAAUCAAUGCUACUAGAGGAGCUAAGCUGUUGAAUAAUCAGGUGUAUGGUGUUGUCUAUGAAGGUUAUGAGAUACCUUAAGUCAUGAGGCAGGCUACAAAGACCUUCUCUUUCUGACCUCCAAACUAACCCAAUAAUUUUGUCUAACCUUUUAUUUUGGCAGCAUAUUAACUGGUUGGGGAAAAGAAAGCAAAGUGUUUUGAGACUAGAGUGCUAAGGCUAGGGGUUGACGCUCUUUAGAGGAGGAUGAAAUCUGUAUAAAAUUUUACACUCACAGCAAAUUAUAUUAGUCAUGGGUUAACUUUCUCCAGAGAUAUUUAUUAACCUCAAGACAUGAAGAGUACCAUACGCUUCUCAGCAAAGUUUAACGGAGAGAGCAGCUCUAGAAGCCAAACAUCAGAACUCAGAAGUCGUAUCACCCUUUGUAUACCAAGGAUGGAGCAUGAGGAAGCAAGCAGUCCAUAAAGAGUUUUCGAAAAACAAGUUGAACAUAGCAAGGAGUUAUGGGAUGUGUUAACAACUGGGAAGUCCUAAGCUAAGAAAAGACAAAUCACAAAUUAAUUACUCGAUGUUGAAAAUUCGGGUAGAAGAUAGAUAGAGAUGACAUUUUAUGAGCUCUACAAUAUUUACUGUGGAAAACAAAAAUGAGUUGCCCAUAAGAAUUAGAUGAGAUCGAUUAUUCUUUACAAGAAAAAACACCUCUAAUAAAUAAUGAAAAAGUGGCAGAAAAUCUAAAUGGUAAUGAUAAUUUGAUUUAAGAUAUGCAAACUUAUAUGUUAAUAAUAAUGUUUUCACUUUUAGGGACGAAAAAAAAACACUUUCGUAUAAAAAAGAGAGUAAGCAACGCAGCUUGCAUAAUUAGAGAGGAAGGAUACUACAAGAACAGGUGGAGCGAGGAGAAGAUUGUGACUACCCAUAUACCUCCUCAUAACCAAUCACAGUCACCAGAAACUUCCCAAACAACAAAGUUUACAGCUAAUACUUUUAAUAGGUAAUUGUUCUCCUAAAUUGUUUAUGACUUAUUAUCUACAAACAUACAUGAUCCAUCUAUAAUAAGUCCAUUAAUUUUAAAAAAUCACUUGCUAAACGAAUUUCAUUUUUUGAAAUGCCACAAAACUGCUUUCUAAACCAAUUUGUGGAAUUGAUCGGUGAAACCAUUUAUGCUAUUUCUCUUUGAUCUAAGCAACUUUUUUUUUUCUGAAACACUAUAUGAUCUUAGCAACUUAAAAACAAAAUAAUACACUACCGUCAUUAACCACUAUCAAAUGGAUAUAACAAACUAUUUUGAACUCAUUAAAAAAUAAACAUACGAACCCGGCGCGUAGCGCCGGAAUACCACUACCGGAAUACCACUAGUAAUAUUUAUAUAAUAACAUUUCACAUAUUUUUAAUUAACUUUAUGUUUAAAAAUAUCAUCGAAAAAUUAUCAUUUUAUCACAAACUUGAUAAUUUCAAAUUUACCUUCAAAAUUGAUCAUUUUAAUAUAUUUAAAAGUAAAUAUAUAUUUUGAAUAAAAAUAAAAUUAUGAAUAUACAUUAUUUAUUAUUUCUUGUUAACAUUAACUAAUUUAUUAAAAUUUAGUUUGCUUAACUUUUGAUAAAUUUUUUGGUUCUUGUUUUUUACAAAUUUGAUAAAGUAAAAUAAACAGAUCGAUGAUACUGCAUCGUAAAAUAUAUAAUCCAUAUCCGUUUCAUAGUUGAAGAAAAUAAAUUAGAAUAUAUCAAACGGAGCAGAUUCAAGGAAAACUGACCCAAAUUUCCAAAUCCAGAAAAAAAACAUCACUCUAUAAUUUCUUAAGGCUUCAGUUGGAUAAUUUCAUCGUUCACUUGGAUAUGGAUAACUAACUAUAUUGUAAGUAGAAUGAUAUGUAGCAUAUAUGUUUUAGUAAUUUGAUCUUAUUUAGAGUUAGCUUGUGUUUAUUUCUAAAUUAGAAUUCUUUGAAUCUUUAUUUGCGGUAACAAAAUGAAUCUAUUUAUUUAUUAUUUUUUGACACAAAUUAUUAUUUUAUUUAUUUUACAAUACAAAAAAAUUGGAAAAAAAAUCC